ACCAGACUCCUACGGGAGGCAGCAGUGAGGAAUAUUGGUCAAUGGCCGAGAGGCUGAACCAGCCAAGUCGCGUGAGGGAAGACGGCCCUACGGGUUGUAAACCUCUUUUGUCGGGGAGCAAAAGCCGGACGUGUCCGGCUGUAAGAGUACCCGAAGAAAAAGCAUCGGCUAACUCCGUGCCAGCAGCCGCGGUAAUACGGAGGAUGCGAGCGUUAUCCGGAUUUAUUGGGUUUAAAGGGUGCGUAGGCGGACGCUUAAGUCAGCGGUAAAAUUGCGGGCUCAACCUCGUCGAGCCGUUGAAACUGGGUGCCUUGAGUGGGCGAGAAGUACGCGGAAUGCGUGGUGUAGCGGUGAAAUGCAUAGAUAUCACGCAGAACUCCGAUUGCGAAGGCAGCGUACCGGCGCCCAACUGACGCUGAAGCACGAAGGCGUGGGUAUCGAACAGGAUUAGAUACCCCCGUAAGG
rnacentral:rRNA from 1 species